UGAGGCAGGAGAAUUGCUUGAACCCAGGAGGCGGAGGUUGCAGUGAGCCGAGAUCGCGCCCCUGCACUCCAGCCUGGGUGACAGAGCGAGACUCCGUCUC
rnacentral:miRNA from 10 species